rnacentral:pre_miRNA from 1 species
CAACACCUGACUAAUCUCCCCAGGCUGAGCUGGGCGAGUAUGUCUUUGAAAGGCUCGCCCUUAAGCACAACUAUGAGC